AGCGCCUGUGCUACGCCACCCCCCUCCCCGCCAGGGGGGCAGCGCCUGUGCUACGCCACCCCCUCCCCCUCAGCGGGGUAUUGACCUCCCAGCCCAGCCCCCCAGUACCUUGCGGGGCAUCCCUAGACCCAACUAGCUGGGGCCCCUGAGGGGGACCCUCCAUAUCCCCUUCCCAGCCCGGGGUCCUCAGGAGAGCAUUCACCUAUGCAGGGCCCAGCUUGGGGCACACCCCACAUCCACCUACCCCGUGUCCAGCCCGGGGCCCCGAGGGAGGCCUCCCUGUCCGGGGUACCCCUCAGACCCACCAGGCUGCCCUCAACUAUUGCCUCCCCCACCAGACUGUUGUACGAGAGCGAUAUCGCACAUCCCUUUCCCAGCCCCGCGGGAGAUGCCCCCUCCACAUCUUUCAUACGGAUCUAGUGAUCCCCGAUCCCCUUCUACGUAUUAUCGCUCCCCUCCCCCCCUCUGCGGCACUACACUGCGCCUUCCACAGACAUCCCCUCCCCUUCCCUCCCCCGCGGUCCCUCUUAGCUGGCAGAGACAGGGGAAAGCUGGCUCAGGGACGAGCAUAUUGUAGCGGACUUCAUCAGAGCCUUCCCUUUAGCAAUGAUUUGCCGGUGAAUCCAUUCCAAGACUCAGCACGGGGCUUUGCAAACAAGAAGUGGGCUGUAGCCCGCGAAAGCUUAUGCUCAAAUAAAUUUGUUAGUCUCUAAGGUGCCACAAGUACUCCUGGUCUUUUUACUAAAUAACCCGGAGCGCACGCUGGUGGGAGUAGCAGGACACAUAAAAUGCUCUGUCUUGGCUGCUGGAGAGUGCUUGCUGUGUCGUCCCCUUCCGCUGUCCCUGUAGUGCUGCUGGAGCCAGAGGGAUUGGAGCUCGGGGUCCCGUUGCUACCUGAAAUGUUCCGAGUAAAGCAGACCAAGACUCGAGCAGGUAUCUAGCAGGAAUUCCAUCUGCGCCUGCACCUGGGACCGAGACUUGCCCUUGAGCAGCCAGUCGUCCAGGUCUUGCAUGAGGGACUGGGAUUCCACGGACAGCCCCAACAGCGAAAGCCACGACGCCCAUCACAUGGAGAUAGCAGAGGCCAUCAAACGAGCCGCAGUGUCAGCUGUAUCCGAGGCCGCCUGGAGCGCUGUUUUUGCCGUUGCCGCACCCUCGUCGACUAGGUCUCUGAAUUCCUUCCUGUCCUUUUCUAGGAGGGAAAGCUCGAAUUUUGGCAGGGACCCCCACAAGUUAAAGUCAUACCUGCUCAGGAGUGCUUGAUGGUUUGCCACCCUGAGCUGGAAACUUGCAGAGGAGUAAACUUUUUUCCCCAAAAGUGGCCAGUCUCCUGGCAUCCUUGUCCUUGGGGGUGGGUGCGGGCUGGCCAUGUCUUUCCCGGUGGUUGACGGACUCUACGAUCAGUGAGUUCGGGGUAGGGUGAGUGUACAGGUACUCAUGCCCCUUUGUUGGCAAAAAGUACUUCCGCUCUGCCUUAGAAAUGGGUGGCAGAGAGGCCGGGGUUUGCCAGAGUCCGAUAGAAAUGUUGGCAACCCCUUGGUGCAGGGGUAGGGCCACACGGCCCGGUGCCGAGGAGGACAGGACAUUAAAGAAAUUGUCCAAUGGCUCCUCCAUCUCCUCAGCCUGGAUCUGGAGGUAGAAGUCAGGGAAUGAAGUCUCCUCUCCAGACACACGCUGUUUCAGGUAGAGGGGGACACACAGAAUUGGCUACCAGCGUUAUCUUUGGUGAAAGAUCUAGCGUUCCAACUGAUCUGGGGUAAAGCACAAGGCUAAACUAGAUGAGAAACUGCUGACCGCUUAUGAAGCAAGGGACAGAGGCACUCCAACUGACCACCAUGGGCAGUAAGAAGGAACGGAGAGGGUACAGGGCUGGUGGUGCCUGAUAUACUGCACCAUGAGUGCGGCACUCCAGAGGGCGCGGCACUCCAGAGGGCACCAUAGCUGGUUUUAUGGGUACCGCCAAGGCAAAAGUCUCUUGACAGCUGUGCACUUGGGUGCGCGCAACACCUACAAUGAACUCAACAUGAGCAAGCACUCGAAGAACUGUCUGUGACUCCAUGGUAAGGUUCACAUUUGUCAUUGGCUUGGUGAAAUUAAUUAAUUAUAGAACACAUCAA